UCCCCUAGUAACGGCGAGUGAAGCGGGAAGAGCUCAAAUUUGUAAUCUGGCACUUUCAGUGUCCGAGUUGUAAUCUCGAGAAGUGUUUUCCGCGCCGGACCGCAUACAAGUCUGUUGGAAUACAGCGUCAUAGUGGUGAGAACCCCGUAACUGAUGCGGAUGCCCGGUGCUUUGUGAUACACUUUCGAAGAGUCGAGUUGUUUGGGAAUGCAGCUCAAAUUGGGUGGUAAAUUCCAUCUAAAGCUAAAUAUUGGCGAGAGACCGAUAGCGAACAAGUACCGUGAGGGAAAGAUGAAAAGCACUUUGGAAAGAGAGUUAACAGUACGUGAAAUUGUUGGAAGGGAAACGAUUGAAGUCAGACUUGUUAUCUGGAGUUCAGCCUUUCGGUGUACUCUCCAGUUUACAGGCCAGCAUCAGUUUUCGGGGCGGGAAAAUCGUAAUUAGAAGGUAGCAGCCUAGCUGUGUUAUAGCUUUUUACUGGAUUCCGCUUUGGGGACUGAGGAACGCAGUGUGCUUUUAGCAAUACCCUCGGGUAUUUCACACUUAGGAUGCUGGUGGAAUGGCUUUAAACGACCCGUCUUGAAACACGGACCAAGGAGUCUAACAUGCUUGCGAGUAUUUGGGUGUCAAACCCGGAUGCGCAAUGAAAGUGAAUGAAGGUGGGAUCCGCAAGGUGCACCAUCGACCGAUC
rnacentral:rRNA from 1 species